UACGUAGGGCGCGAGCGUUGUCCGGAAUUAUUGGGCGUAAAGAGCUCGUAGGCGGCUUGUCACGUCUGCUGUGAAAACUCGGGGCUCAACCCCGAGCCUGCAGUGGAUACGGGCUAGCUAGAGUGCGGUAGGGGAGACUGGAAUUCCUGGUGUAGCGGUGAAAUGCGCAGAUAUCAGGAGGAACACCGGUGGCGAAGGCGGGUCUCUGGACCGAUACUGACGCUGAGGAGCGAAAGCGUGGGGAGCGAACAGG
rnacentral:rRNA from 1 species